CAUUUUACCUGGGAGGGGAGUGUGAUUGCAGAGGUGGAUUUCACGUCUCAGGGUGAGGCUUAUCCGGAUGUGCUGACCCCUCAAUUUCCCCAAAUGUGGGAGUUGACUGCAUAAUUUGUGGGAGGGAAGCCAGGCCAGGCGGUGGUGGCACACGCCUUUCAUCCC